rnacentral:rRNA from 1 species
CGGACGGGUGAGUAACGCGUGAGAAUCUGCCCUCAGGAGGGGGAUAACAGUUGGAAACGACUGCUAAUACCCCAUAUGCCGAGAGGUGAAACGAAUUUCGCCUGGGGAUGAGCUCGUGUCUGAUUAGCUUGUUGGUGGGGUAAUGGCUUACCAAGGCUUCGAUCAGUAGCUGGUCUGAGAGGACGAUCAGCCACACUGGGACUGAGACACGGCCCAGACUCCUACGGGAGGCAGCAGUGGGGAAUUUUCCGCAAUGGGCGCAAGCCUGACGGAGCAACGCCGCGUGAGGGAUGGAGGCCUUUGGGCUGUAAACCUCUUUUCUCAAGGAAGAAGAUCUGACGGUACUUGAGGAAUAAGCCACGGCUAAUUCCGUGCCAGCAGCCGCGGUAAUACGGGAGUGGCAAGCGUUAUCCGGAAUUAUUGGGCGUAAAGCGUCCGCAGGCGGCCGUUUAAGUCUGUUGUUAAAUCGUGGAGCUCAACUCCAUCACGGCAAUGGAAACUGUUCGGCUUGAGUAUGGUAGGGGCAGAGGGAAUUUCCGGUGUAGCGGUGAAAUGCGUAGAUAUCGGGAAGAACACCAGUGGCAAAAGCGCUCUGCUGGGCCAUUACUGACGCUCAUGGACGAAAGCCAGGGGAGCGAAAGGGAUUAGAUACCCCUGUAGUCCUGGCCGUAAACGAUGAACACUAGAUGUUGGGGGAAUCGACCCCCUCGGUGUCGUAGCUAACGCGUUAAGUGUUCCGCCUGGGGAGUACGCACGCAAGUGUGAAACUCAAAGGAAUUGACGGGGGCCCGCACAAGCGGUGGAGUAUGUGGUUUAAUUCGAUGCAACGCGAAGAACCUUACCAAGGCUUGACAUCCUGCGAAUCUCCAAGAAAUUGGAGAGUGCCUUUUGGAACGCAGUGACAGGUGGUGCAUGGCUGUCGUCAGCUCGUGUCGUGAGAUGUUGGGUUAAGUCCCGCAACGAGCGCAACCCACGUUUUUAGUUGCCAGCAUUUAGUUGGGCACUCUAGAAAGACUGCCGGUGACAAACCGGAGGAAGGUGUGGACGACGUCAAGUCAUCAUGCCCCUUACGCCUUGGGCUACACACGUACUACAAUGCUGCGGACAAAGAGUAGCGAUCUUGCGAAAGUUAGCUAAUCUCGUAAACCGUGGCUCAGUUCAGAUCGUAGGCUGCAACUCGCCUACGUGAAGGAGGAAUCGCUAGUAAUCGCAGGUCAGCAUACUGCGGUGAAUACGUUCCCGGGCCUUGUACACACCGCCCGUA